GCUCAAUGCAACUGCAGGUGAUUGCUUACACCCUGCGAGUGCAUGCCCCGUGUUCUCACGUGGAUACCCGUGCCGCUUUUAACUCCCAUCUGCGCCCUGGCAAGAUCAAACCAAAGGAGAUAAAGCAUCAGAGGUACCUGUUCGGCAACAGAUGAAGUGCAGCAAGGAAAACCUCCCUGCUCAGCCCCUGCGCCCAGCACCGCAGCACUUCAACAGCAGCAGGACAAUCAGCUCCAGGAGGAGAGCGGUGCUGCAGGGAGGAUGAAGGAAGUCACUCAAGCUGCUGUGGGGAAAAUGGUAGGGUGGGAGGUGCAGAGGUAGAGCAGGGAAGCAGCCAGUAGCAUCAUCUGGUUGGUACUCACUCCUUGCUGGCACAAUAAAACUGAACCAGGCUUCACUGCAAUAGCAUCCACCAGUCAAGAGAAACAACUGCAAAUAAAGGCUAAUCAUCUUUUCAGAUUUAUGAUUAGUCCUGCUCAUAUCUAGGGGAGCUGUUCUUCUGAAUUAAGAAAACUUGAUUAGCCUAUUAAAAUGCGGAUAAAUUCUGGAAAGAUCCAGUUUCCUACUGCAUCUCUCUCUGCAUGGAUACAGGACAAUCACUUCCUGAUGCUGGGUGGGCAGCUGGCUCUUCCCCUGCUCCCACCUUCAGUCCUGUGCCUGCCCCUGCCUCUGUGCCUACCCAGGACUGCUGCAGCAACGCGGAGCUGAAGGCGACGUGGCACCGUGCCAGGGCUAUCAGGACUUGGGAUGAUCAAUACCGAUGAUUCUUUCCCUCGCCGUCGCCAAAGGUCCUGAGCUGGACUGUUAUGAGCUCUGCCAUCAAAAUGAUUUCUCCUCCAGAUGCACCUCAAGCCCAGCAAAAAAGUGAGUGGGAUGGUGCGCUCUCUGCUGAACGUUCACAAUGAUGACCUCAAAACACGUGGAUUUGUCUCAGACAGACAUAGAGAAAAGCGGUAAGCUGACUGACAGUCAUCCUGCUCUAUGAAUAAAACAAAAUGCAAGUCAUUACAACAUGCUGGCACAGCCGACCCUCUCCAAAGAAAACACAACCACAUGUCUUCCACAAAUAUCCGUAUUUCUUCUCCACUGAUACUUUCUCCUGUGUCUGUAAUUUGAAAUACUUCCUGAGAUGUUGGAAAUGAGCUGCUAGCAUUUGCCCCACACAGAACAGUGCUGUAUGAAAGAAGCCCAGCCUCACCAGAGGACAGUGAGAAGACAGCCUGCUACCCCAGCCAAACAGCUGUGCUUGGGGUGCUCAGAAAUCCUGCUUUAUGGGGCAGGGCUGAUGGCUUUGACAGUACAUUACUGGAGUGCCAGGUCCCAACUUGUCUUCUUGGGACCUGCAAGUAUUAAGGGUAUGUGUAUUUUCCCCCACAAAAGAUCCUGCUGAUAGCGUAGGUCAGUUGGUGAUAUUGGCUUUUUUCCCCAGCAGCAGCUCUGCGUGCAUUUUUAACUUCUACCAACUCCUGCCUGUUCACUAGGUGCAUGAAGAGCCAGCCUGCAAAAAGAAAACCAGACGAGUCUGCCACAACUAAGACGCUGAUGAAUUUUUACUGAAUGGCAAAUAUCCAGCCCAGGAACAGCCAGCACAACACCCUCAGCCUAGGGCUCAUCCUCAGCCCCCUCUCCAUACUCAGACACGAGGAAGAGACAGGCUACUGUCACCCUUCCCCCUGGGACAAGAGACAUGCAAAAAGCACAGCCCCAAACCCUCCGGAUGGGAAGCAGAGCUGGCACCUCGGUGACGUGAUGACACUGCUUCACAUGGCAGCAGAGGACGCAGGACACCUCAUGGGCUCGGAGGUGACCCUGAGCAAACGGGGUGGCACACGUAGCUUCCCACACACCAGCACCACAACACGAGCUGCUGGGAUAAAAAUAUCAAACUAAACAGCUUGCCUUGCUCUUGAGCUCAGGGAUAACACAUGCAGAUAUGGAGUUGCUCUGUUCCUCUGAGGGCCAGGAAACAGGUGAGAAUUUAUAGCUGCAAAAAGAGCAAUUUAUAAGGCUGUACCGAGAGGACCACAUUGCAUGCACACAAAGAGGAGACAGUGAAGUUUUCCUCCUGCUCUUCCUCAAAGUAAGCAGGUAUUUUCGACAAGAGAUUGUAGGGGAAAAAGUCAAGGCUUGGUUAAACGAAUUUAUUUUCUACCAGCUGUGCUCACAGAUAGCUUCAGAGCAUGGCACAGAAUAAAUUAUGCAGUUGGUUUUGUUUUAUUUUUUUCCUUUUGACUGCAUGCCCAAAGUGACACAAUUUGUUGACUUCUGACCAAGUGUUUUGGUAAUGUACCUGGAAUUGCAGUGAUUCCAGACACUGGAAUCACAGUUGCUUUAAAAACUGAGAGGGCAAAACCAUACUGGCAGCCAGCACAGGAAGCUUCCUCUGCAUCAGAGGGGGUCACCAACCUGUCCUUGUCAUGAGAAAAAAAUGUGCACACUGUUUUCUCAGUUUCUGCUGCUUCUCCUGUCCUGCCUCAAGUUGUUAGCUGCCCUUUUUUGGAAAUGUUAAAAGGCAGAUUUAUUCCUUUCAACCCAAAACCAGUGGAGCGCCUGGUGUGGCUCUAUCUCCAGGCUUAAAAGACAACUGGGAUUGGAGGGAGUGGGGGGAAGCUUAAUAAUACAUCUCAGCCCAGACCUUCCUGUUUUACCCAUACCUUUGGAGCCAGGGGCAGGCAGGUCUGAGGUGAGAUGUGAUUGAGGCACCUCAUUUUAUGGCUGUCACAGCCCUGUUACCAACUUGAGAGGGGUUACUCCAGUGGACUGAAUAUGCAGGGAAAUGCUCAGCUGAAACACACCCAUACAGGAAAAUCAAGAACUUGUCCCACUUGCCCAGUCUCCCUCCUCUUACCCAGCUUCCAGGGAGGGCUGCCCACCCAUUUCCCUCACUCACCACCCCUCCAAGCAAGUGGUUAAAUUCAGCAAGCAUAGUGGGAACUCAAAAACAAGCAAACUGCUUACUUGCAGCAAAUGACAUGAGGAUUUUUUUCAGGUGUCCUGAAAUAAUUUUGGAGCUUUUAGCUCUGUCUUGUUUAUUUUUGCGUCUGUUCCCUCCAAGUGCCAGAUAAAUUUAUUAAAAAUACGUGUGUUUUACCACGUAAUAUUUAAAAAUCUCUCAUAAAACCAGGCACAUCCUUUUGGGCAGAGAGAUUCUCUAGGAACAGAAAGGCAAGCUUUAAGUGACAGCCGGGGCUGAAGGGCAGGAGGCAUACCAAAACCUUUGCUUUUCUAAACACUGCUGAAACCCAAGCAAAUAGUGCUUUCUGCUUCACUACUAUCUGCAGGCACUGAAGAACCGACAAGGAACUCAUCUUUUUGUUAAGCAUGACCACUGUGAAAAUCGACUGGCUCUGCUCACCUCCCCUGCACUUCUCAGGCAGGAAUUUAAACAGAAUUUAGGUAUAUUCUCUAAUUUUUAUGUUACACAUACGUAGACAUUUCCUGUGACAUAACAAGACAAACUGGUCAGGGGCAAAAUGUGUUCCCACAGAGAAUCCCUUUGCACUGUACGCUGUAAGCCAAGCUUUGAAGUGUGAGCUCUGAGUCCGCUCCCAGUUCUGUCUUUCUGCAGCCAGGGCAUACGAAUGUAAGGUGGGGAAAACGUGCUCGGUGAACUCUGUCUGCUAGUCAAUAACUAACUUGUUCUCCUUACAUUAUCCUUAGGACAACUGUCUCCACGCCUGUAUUUGCAGAUCCGGAGAAAAGGCAAUUUGCCGAGUUAUAGGGCAGUCAUGGGAGCAGAGACACUGCCUUGUGGAGUAAGAAAAGGAGGACAAGAGUAGACACAAGUGGCCUACUUACAGGGACGAAGUCCUGACAAUUUGCUCGCUUCCCAUUAGUUAGGUCAGCUCCCUCUGUGGGAGGCUGACAGUAAGAAACCUCCAGGAUCUUGAAGUCUGCCAAGGAGAUCUGAGAGAACAUGAAAUGCAGGGAGAAACGGGGGCCAAAGGGAAACCAUUUGACUCCCUGAAUAUGAGAUUAACAUCAUGAAAAGGCUGAGGAGAACUUUCUCCUGUCCCUCCCUGCUUUUGUCUCACACAUAGAGUACAUUUGCUAUAUAGAAAAAGAGCAUGUGAAAGGGAGGAAAAAUUUUACACUCUCUGGAUAAUUCUAACAAUGCAUUAAAAAUAUACAGAAAAGGAACAAGUUAUUUUGAUGUUAUAUAUAUAUAUAUUUUUUUUUCUUUCUAAGACCAGCUCUUCCAGCUCUUAAAUAAUCUUUCACGUUAUUGUCUAACAUCAUGGCUUUUUGAGCAAUGUAACUUAAAAGCUGAUAAACAGCAUUUCCCAGCAGCCUUGCAAUGGCAGACUCCAGCCCUGUAGCAUCUCCAGCAUCCUCCGUGGCGAUCACAAACAUCUCACCAGUUUCUGGGUAUCCCAGGGCACAAGCUGCCACAGGUUUCAGCUGUGAACGCAGCAGGAGCACCUCACUGGGCUGCCAAGAACUAGAACAAAUGUGCUCCUUCCUACCGAGCAAACCUCAAAGAAAUUAUCCAGCACAGCUUAGGAAGAACUGGGAAGCUCCAUCGGAGAUGCUUCUGAAAUCUGGUCUUUAUCAGAAUAUGCCACAGAAACAGUGUUUAUAGUAAUGGAUUCUUGUCUUUGGGAUAAAAAAGUAUAAAAUCAUGAUGUCAUGUAGCACAAACUUUGUAUGUGAAAAGAGAAUUUGGAGAGCAGAGGAUAGGAAAUUGAUUUUCACUGUGGUUUUAAC